UCUGGAACACCUGGGACUUGGGCACACAGGAAGAAAAAAUUUUCCAAAGCCUUCAGAAGGACACCUUGAUUUCAGGUGUCAAGCACCCAGAACUAGACAAGAAGUGUUCUAACCAUCCAGUUUGUGUCUGGAUGAAUUCAGCUUUUGGCAUUGGGACAUGUAGCUCCGUCUAUUGGUUUCUGCAGAGGCUGGGGAAGCCCCUGGGUAAGACAACGGGGAAGGAAGCUACAAGAGAUGAAGCUAGUUACUAAUGUGUCCUACAGUGGAGAAUUUGACAACUCUUUUCCGGACCCUGCAGGGUCUUUCUGACACUAAUUCCUUUCAUCCUACUUUGAAUAUUUCUCCUUUGGUUUUCACUGUCUUUGUUACAAAAAAAAAAAAAAAAAAAAACACCUGUCAUCAUCAGUGGCACGAUGGCCUCUGUAAAAUACCAACGGACUGGCUCUCAGCUGACAUGUCACUGAUGCCUCAAUCAUGAUCAUAUUGAUGAAUGUGCCGAAAAUGUAUCACCGUCCAUCCGAACCAAUCAUGUUUGUAUGGAAUGCUAUCCCCAUCUCAGUCUUUUGCAAUGCUGUCAGCCUCCCUCUGAAAAAGAAAAGGAACAGGAAGAAGUAUUUUUACACAUGGAGGACACCUAUUUUAAGUGCUUCAACCUUCAUAAUACCUGAAGAUGUAACAUUUCAGCCGCUGCUCCACCUGCCACGUCUGCCUGCUGACGUGCUUCACCGCCAGUGGAGAGGAACUGUUAUCCAUCUGGAAUGGCAAGCUUCGGAGGAAUUGCUUCCUUCUGUAACUUGCUUUUGUGGUGAUGUUUCAUCUAAACUAGUGAAAAGUAACUAAAACAGGCAUUGACUGUUUCCCCCUUACUGUCCCCUUGGACACUAUGGUAGGGCCAUGUAAAUGCAAAAUGAGCAAGUAGUUAACUGUCUACAGAGGGUAGAAUCCGCUCAAACCAACGGAAUGGAGCUUGGAUCUGAAUGGCUUCCACAGUGCCAGAUAUUACACAGAAAGAAACUUGUCAUUAAAAAAAAUCUCACAAGGGUUCUAGUUUAUCUACAUUUUUGCUUGGGGGUGGGGGGAGGUUUCAAUAUGCCUGAGGGUCACCCAGCCAGAAAAAAUAGUUGGAAGUUUAAACUUGAGUGAAUAAAAUUUUGAGGCUCGUAUGAUUUUCAUUGUCUGUAAGAAAAAGCAGCAUGAGACAAAAAAAAAAAAAAUCUUCAUCAAA